GUGGGGACGUCGCGAGAGCGCCGGAGACUCCACUGCCGUAACAAUAAUGUGGGCAAAUUAAAAGCCACGAUUUAUCGGCGACAUCAAGAGCCGAUGUCUCGAUUUAAAUAAACAACUUAACCGAGAUGCAACAUCACUGAAAUCCCAUCGCCUAAGGUCCAGUGGGUGGGUUUAGGUUUCAUCCGAGCGAUGCCCAACUAUCCCGGAUGAACCUAUGGGGUUGUCUUGUGUUUUCUUUAAGUUUUAACGUUUUAAAGUUUUAACGUUUUUGCAAGUUUUAAUCUAAGAAGAAGUUUAUGAUUGGAUCAGACUAUUUCAACAAAUUUUGUGAAUGAAGAUUCCUACUGUUUUCUUCUGCUUUUGAGAGUUAUUUCAAGCUUCAUUUCGGCGGAGCUUGCCUUGGUUGGUUGCACGUCGAAGCUUUUCUUUGUGCGGCGCGCAUGUGGAUGUGCCGCGCCUCUCCUUUUGUCAACACUCCGGAUAAGGCCCGGUGAAGGACUGCGAGGUUGACCGGUGGACGUGCAGCCCGCCAGCUGCGUAACAGUUGGCCCGCUGCGCCGCCAUCGUCCAGCACGCCCUGGCCUGAGCCGGCCUCAACUCAUCACCUGUACGGUAUUCCGGAACGCCUCAGGUAGGCCUGAUAGUCGGAGGUCCUCGAGUAAGUGAGGUGCCUACAGGUGUACGGACAGUGUUUUUAAAUAUAGUGAUAUCCCAUGGUUGUUACGGAGUGACAAUUAACCUGACGGACCAAAGCGCGACCUGUCUCCCUCCAUAGGGUGUUCACCUACCUAUGGUUGUACUUGUUAAUUAAAUGUUAUAAGAAUAUACAUUGUACGGAUUCAAAGGGAGUUUUCUUUGUCUCAUGCUCACCGGUCUAUAACAUCUAGCUGUGCCCUUCAGGUAAACACCACUUUAUAAAUUUUCUGAAACAUAUCAGUAUUUUAACACCAUUUCCUAUUUUACCUACCUUCUCCGUUAGGUAACAAAAGAUUUACGUUUCAGUGGCGCCCUUCUUGGUGAAAUUGUCGCUCUGUGCAACCAUUUAGAAUAAGUGGUGUUGGCAUAAACUUUGAGAAUAAAAAUUUAGUGAAAACAGUGUAUUUUUUUAUUAAAAGUGAUGGGAUUUUGUGUGAAUUGUUUGUGUUUUGUUUGCAUCUUAGGUUAAGUUGUGUCUGUUUCUUAGCAUAAGUAAGGUUCUAGGCCUCCUACAGAGACCUAACUUAAGUACUUAUUUUAUUUGCAGUAAGUUUAAACCCAAUUUUAUGGCCUAAAUGGUCUAGGGCUUAUUGUCAUUUUUAGUAUUACAUUUGUGUUUUCUUUUAACCUUUAUAGGUAUAAACUACAGGUUGAACCAAUUUUUUAAUGCUUACUAGCAAUUAUUUUUUACCAGGAUUGAGUACCUAUUUUUUUUAAGUAAAAU